rnacentral:rRNA from 1 species
CCUACGGGGAGCAGCAGUGAGGAAUAUUGGUCAAUGGACGCAAGUCUGAACCAGCCAUGCCGCGUGCAGGAAGACGGCUCUAUGAGUUGUAAACUGCUUUUGUACGAGGGUAAAUCCCGAUACGUGUAUCGGGUUGAAAGUAUCGUACGAAUAAGGAUCAGCUAACUCCGUGCCAGCAGCCGCGGUAAUACGGAGGAUUCAAGCGUUAUCCGGAUUUAUUGGGUUUAAAGGGUGCGUAGGCGGUUCGAUAAGUUAGAGGUGAAAGCCCGGGGCUCAACUCCGGCACUGCCUCUGAUACUGUCGGGCUAGAGUUUAGUUGCGGUAGGCGGAAUGUAUGGUGUAGCGGUGAAAUGCAUAGAGAUCAUACAGAACACCGAUUGCGAAGGCAGCUUACCAAACUACGACUGACGUUGAGGCACGAAAGCGUGGGGAGCAAACAGGAUUAGAUACCCCAGUAGUC